rnacentral:rRNA from 1 species
CCCUUAGAUGUUCUGGGCCGCACGCGCGCUACACUGAUGCAUUCAACGAGCCUAUCCUUGACCGACAGGUCCGGGUAAUCUUUGAAUCUGCAUCGUGACGGGGAUAGAUUAUUGCAAUUAUUAAUCUUCAACGAGGAAUGCCUAGUAGGCGCAAGUCAUCAGCUUGCGUCGAUUACGUCCCUGCCCUUUGUACACACCGCCCGUCGCUCCUACCGAUUGGGUGAUCCGGUGAAUUAUUCGGACUGCAACGCGCUCAGUUCCUGGAUGCGAUUGCGGAAAGUUUUGUGAACCUUACCACUUAGAGGAAGGAGAAGUCGUAACA